AGGUGUGGGAGGUGUCGACUCCUUCCGUGCCGCAGCUAACGCAUUAAGCGCCCCGCCUGGGGAGUACGGCCGCAAGGCUAAAACUCAAAGGAAUUGACGGGGGCCCGCACAAGCAGCGGAGCAUGUGGUUUAAUUGGAUGCAACGCCAAGAACCUUACCAAGGCAUGACAUGUUCGGGAAAGCUGGAGAAAUUCAGCCCUCCUUCGGGACCCGAUCACAGGUGGUGCAUGGCUGUCGU
rnacentral:rRNA from 1 species